GGCUCGGUAGCUCAGUUGGUAAAGCACUUGUCUAGCGAAUAAGGGUCGUGAAUUCAAAUCUCACCUGAGCUG
rnacentral:tRNA from 1 species